rnacentral:rRNA from 1 species
CCUACGGGGGGCAGCAGUUGGGAAUCUUGGACAAUGGGCGAAAGCCUGAUCCAGCCAUGCCGCGUGAGUGAUGAAGGCCUUAGGGUUGUAAAGCUCUUUCGCCAGGGACGCGGUACCUGGAUAAGAAGCCCCGGCUAACUUCGUGCCAGCAGCCGCGGUAAUACGAAGGGGGCUAGCGUUGUUCGGAAUUACUGGGCGUAAAGCGUGCGCAGGCGGUUUCUCAAGUCAGGGGUGAAAGCCCGGAGCUCAACUCCGGAAAUGCCUUUGAAACUGUGAAGCUAGAGUGCGGGAGAGGUGAGUGGAAUUCCCAGUGUAGAGGUGAAAUUCGUAGAUAUUGGGAAGAACACCGGUGGCGAAGGCGGCUCACUGGCCCGUUCUGACGCUCAUGCACGACAGCGUGGGGAUCAAACAGGAUUAGAUACCCUUGUAGUC